rfam:Sphaerobolus stellatus SS14 unplaced genomic scaffold SPHSTscaffold_23, whole genome shotgun sequence.
GCCUUGCUAGCUCAAUCGGUAGAGCGUGAGACUCUUAAUCUCAAGGUUGCGGGUUCGACCCCUGCGUGGGGCU